GAUGAAGAACGUAGCGAAAUGCGAAAAGUAGUGUGAAUUGCAGAAUUCAGUGAAUCAUCGAAUCUUUGAACGCACAUUGCGCCCUCUGGUAUUCCGGAGGGCAUGCCUGUCCGAGCGUCAUUGCUGCCCUCAAGCACGGCUUGUGUGUUGGGCCCCGCCCCCCGAUCCCGGGGGGCGGGCCCGAAAGGCAGCGGCGGCACCGCGUCCGGUCCUCGAGCGUAUGGGGCUUUGUCACCCGCUCUGUAGGCCCGGCCGGCGCCUGCCGAUCAACCAAACUUUUUUCCAGGUUGACCUCGGAUCAGGUAGGGAUACCCGCUGAACUUAAGCAUAUCAAUAAGCGGAGGA
rnacentral:misc_RNA from 1 species